ensembl:lncRNA
CAUUCUAGUGGCAACCAAAAGACCCACUGUGGAAAUGAAUGGUUUUAAAAAAUAAUGUAAGAUUAAAGUAAGGUAAUUAAGGUGAGGUGAUACUCCAGAGAUAAUAGUGCUAGUUGCUCAGUGUCUUGAAAAUAAUAACACUAUAAUGAGAAAUAAUGGUCAGACAGAUUAUUUUUAUUUUUGCUUUUAUAAUUUGUGAUGUGCUUAUAUGUGUUUUUUAGGAAGGAGGGAGGUAAUCAACCAGACUUCCAUUGUGGAUGUGUCUGUGGUAGAAAUGAUCACCAGCACCAUCAGCUACACUACAACCAUCCCUUUAGUGGAAAGUAGCACCACUACGCAAACCCCCACAUCUGAAACUGUAUCAGAGGCAGAAGAGUCUCCAGACUCAUCAGUUACAAAUCCUCCAUCUAUGUUCUCUACCAGUAUGGCUCCACCUCGCCCCACUCCAGCAGACCAAGAAGAAGAGUUAAUCACCACAGUCGCACCAACCAUCAAAGAGGAACCUGAGGACACUGACAUUGUAACAGCCGUACCAGACUUAGACGUUAAUGACUUUGUAAGUGAAAAUGUAACCAAUGAGGAAUUCGUUUCCCAACGUGGUGAUGCAUUGACAAAACCACAAAACAAAACAGAAAGCACUGACACCACAGAGACAGUGUCAAAGCCCAUCGAGGAGCCAGAUGAUCACUCAGUAAUUGAGAUCAGCACAAUCAAACCUGAUGUCCCGAUACCAGACACCUCUCUCAUCACAGAGCCCAUGUUUGCCGAGGGGAAGACUGAGGAAACUAUUCUGGAUUCUGGGAUCACCACAGAGAUGGCCUCUGACCUCACCGACACUCCAACAGAAUCAACUGAACUGACCAGCGAGGAGGUGUUCAGCUCCUCCGAAUCAACACCAUCAACCACUGGGCUUCAUUCAACAACACUAGGCCCCGAUUACGUGGAUGAGCUAGAUGUGAUAGAUGAGAUGGAUGAGAAUAAUUUUGCUGUAUAUGCACUGCCACCUACUCCACCAUCCCAACUGGACCUCACAUCCAGCUCAUCAGACAGCACUAGUAUCGAUGGCACAAUGACCAGCACUGCAACAAAAACCACACCUCAAAUGCAGCAUGUAGAGACAACGGCUGUUGUCUAUAAUGAAGAGACUGCAUCUGCAGCUGCGACAGCCACCACCGUCCUGAUUGACAGUGGAACGCCUGGCGAGGAUGUGACAUCGUCAUCAAGUGUACACGUCUUUGAUGAGUCCACCACUCUGCUGCCAGAGCACAGCGGUGACGCCCUGACGGAGGAUGACACAGCAACAGAGAUUGGCACAGAGUUCUUUACAUCUGCAAUCGCGGCUUCAGCUGUGGCUGACACGACCACCACUCCAGGUACAGUGGUCGCUGCAUCAGUUGACCAGGCUCUACAACCACAAGAUUCUCAGUCUCCUGGCAUACCAGUUGUGCCUGACCAUCCCACCCCUUCCAUAGCUGAUGGUGAUCCCAUCCCACAGACUGGAGACCCAGACCUUAUCUCCCAAGCUGCUGUAACCAUCACUCCAACUGUUAGCUUUAUAAAUGGUAAACAUGAGAUCACACUGGAGCCACAGAGCCCAGCUGAAAAAGAGGCCAAAGGUACCCAGAUUUUUACAAAUGUGACGAUUCUGGGAACAAGCGAUGAAAUAACAACGGUGUUUGAUUAUAGUUGGACCGAUCUCACUGAUGAUAAUGUCACUGAAUCUACAGAGGAAGCCACAGCAAUACUGACCUCAACAGAGAUCCCAGAUGUUCAUAACUAUGACCCUGAUAUAAUCCCAACAGAUGAAUCAACACCUCCUCAUGUACUCCCUGAAAUUGAGCUGACCACAAAAUCCCCCACACAGAAAGAUACAACUUCUGUUUCGGCCUCAACAGUGGAUGACAGGGCUCAAUCAAAAACUACACAAAAAACUGAAGCUGGUCCAGCUGCCACAGAUGCCACAGAGGGGAUGAGUGAUGUCACAGCUACCUCUGCUGACUUUGUUCCUACAGUAACACCAGCUGAGCCACAGAUCACCAAAGCAACUAAAGAAAUCCAAACAACGAAGGCUGAGGAAACCACCACUGUCAUCACCACAUCUGUACAAGAAGAGGUAGGCGAGUCAGGGAGGACUCCAACGUAUGUGAAAAGUGACUCAGAAGUGACUCAGACAGAGAGAGCUAAGGACCAAUCCACUGUUACUUAUUCAACUGAACUUUACAUGGCCAAAGAUAAAGCUGAAACCACAGAGGAAACAAAGAGCACAUCUGCCACUCCAGCUGCUGGAGACAGCACUCAGUCUACAUUACAGACUAUGUACACUCCCUCUUCUGCUGACGCUGAUGUGAAAACACCAACAUCAACAACUAAUGACUCACAGAGCUCCACUCAAGAUGUGGAGGGAAGGAAAGAGACCCAAACCCCAAAAGAAUUUGCCUUCAGCACAGCGGCUCCUUCAGUAUCUAGUGAUUCAGCCUCUCCUGAACAGACAGACAAGACUGAGAUAACACCAACUGUAGAUUUAGGUAAGACUGAAUCAUCAGCAUCUGUAACACCUAUCCUGGCUGAAACUUCAGAGGGUACAGUCAUAAGUCAGGGAGGGAGUACAGACAGCCAAAUGUCUUCCAUCUCCCCCACUGAUGCAAUGUCUACACCAGAGGAGGAAGGUUCAGGGGUUCAAACAGUAAACAUGUUUACAACCAGCCCACCAUCACAUAUCUCUGAAGGGACCGUGACAUCACCUUCAAGUUUAAGUGCAACAGAUCAAGCUACAUGGGAGAGUGAAGAAACAUUACAAACAGUACAAACAGGCACAGAUAAAACAUUUGUUCCUGUCACUGGUGAGGUGGAAAAAAUGUCAAAACCCACCAUUAUGCAUGAGGGGUGGAAACAAGAUGAGAAAACAACUCAUCCCUCUCAUGAAUCCGUUGCAACCACUGACUCCCUCUUAUAUAGUGCUAUUAAAAUUAUCACAACAACAAUGGCCCCAUUCACUGAAUAUUUCAGUCAGUACUCAACACAAAGUGCAUCACUGAUGACUGACCUCCCUGACCAAAUAGUGGAUACAAGUGAGGAAACCGCCACUGGUGGCACAUAUAAGGCUACUUCAAAAGAUGAAACCUCUACUCCAGUCAUGAGCACAAUCAAACCAGAUGAGUCUAUUUCAGUUGCAAUUUCAACGGUGGAAACCACAAGUGUAACUGCAGACACAAAACCUAUACAAACAGUAACCCCACUAAGUGGCAUUACAGAGUCAAGUCCAUUGCAUCCUAGCAAUGCUGGACAUAUGACAGAUGACCAGACUUCUGGUACAACAUCAACAGGAACAACUGCAGCAGCUACCUUGCUCAGCACAGCAAAAUCAGUUAUAGAAACAACACAAUACGAAACAUUCCAUGAUUCAACCAUAGCUGGCACUGUAGCUCCGUCUGCUUUCAACACUAAAAUACCAACAUCACUGUCACAAGAAAUGUCAGAUAUCACAACCACUGAAAAGAUAUCACUUAUUCCUGAAGAUACCACCAUUUUCACAACUGCAGAUUCAGGUUCUGAGCGUUGGACAGUAUCACAUGGAACAUCAAUGAGCGACAUUACAGAAAGAACAGUAAAACCAUCAGAAUCAGAAGUAACAUUAAGGGCUACUGUUUCUUCUGGUAUCAGUGUGACUCCAACUGCCACAUCUAGCAUAGGCAGUGAAGUGACCAAAGAACAAACAGACACACCAGCCAGUUCACAGGAAAAAGCAGUUACUGGCAUCACUGACAUAGUUACCAGCACACUACCCACUUCAAAAGCAGAAGUGAGUUCUGGAGGUCAAAGGCCAAGUGUCACAUCAAUGCCAGGUGUUACUACAGCGUCUUCAUUCUACAGUACUGAGAAACAAACAUCCAAUUUCACCAAAGAGUCCAUCAUCUCUGAAACUACUAUUUCUUCACAAUUGAGUACAGACUCACCAUCAGUAACACCCUCAAGUGAAACCGAAACAAGCGGUACUUCUAAGCAAGGUGUAAGUGCUGUUUCAUCUCUCUACAGUACUGAGAAACCAACAUCAGUGUCAACUGAAACACAAGAGACUGCAACCACAAGACAGACUGAGAAACUAUCAUCUACACCAGAGACAAGUUCUACUUUCCCAAAAAUAGAUGAAGAGAGUUCAGGUGAACAGACAACUGAGAUUUCCAGCGAUGGCACUGCAGCUUCUACAGCCUCACCCUUGUUUAGCACAGAGAAGCCAACUGGACUGCCAGUUACAGAACAUGACAGUGCAGCCACAAGUCGUACAGAAAAUCCCUCAGUAACGCCUUUUACUGGGAAGGUGGAAGAAAGCACUGUUGUGACAACAGUAUAUGAAGAUGGCUCUGGUGAUCAAACCCAAGAAAUGUUUACUCAGACCUACUCUGUCACAGCUAAAUCAUCUCCCUAUAGCACUGAGGCACCAACAACAGCGUCUCCUGUUACAUCAUCUACCUUUUUAGACAGUGAGGAAGAAGGCAUUAGUAGUGAAACGACAAUGGUGGAGUCUAUUCCUCUAUUUAGUGGAUCAACCAUGCUCCCUGAAAGAGCAUCAUUCCUCAGUACAACUGCUAAAGAGAGUUCUGGAGAUAGCACUGCCGAUUUCACCAAAGAGUCCAUCAUCACAGAAACUACUAUUUCCUCAAAGUUGAGUACAGAGUCACCCUCAGUUACACCCUCAGGUGAAACUGAAACAAGCGGUACUUUAAAGCAAGCUGUUACUGCUGCUUCAUCUCUCUACAAUACUGAGAAACCAACAUCAGUGUCAACUGAAACACAAGAGACUGCAACUACAAGACAGACUGAGAAACUAUCAUCUACACCAGAGACAAGUUCUACUUUCCCAAAAAUAGAUGAAGAGAGUUCAGGUGAACACACAACUGAGAUUUCCAGCGAUGGCACUGCAGCUUCUACAGCCUCAUCCUUGUUUAGCACAGAGAAGCCAACAGGACUGCCAGUUACAGAACAUGACAGUGCAGCCACAAGUCGUACAGAAAAUCCCUCAGUAACGCCUUUUACUGGGAAGGUGGAAGAAAGCUCUGUUGUGACAACAGUAUAUGAAGAUGGCUCUGGUGAUCAAACCCAAGAAAUGUUUACUCAGACCUACUCUGUCACAGCUAAAUCCUCUCUCUAUAGCACUGAGGCACCAACAACAGCGUCUCCUGUUACAUCACCUACCUUUUUAGACAGUGAGGAAGAAGGCAUUAGUAGUGAAACGACAAUGGUGGAGUCUAUUCCUCCAUUUAGUGGAUCAACCAUGCUCCCUGAAAGAGCAUCAUUCCUCAGUACAACUGCUAAAGAGAGUUCUGGAGAUAGCACUGCCGAUUUCACCAAAGAGUCCGUCAUCACAGAAACUACUAUUUCCUCAAAGUUGAGUACAGAGUCACCCUCAGUUACACCCUCAGGUGAAACUGAAACAAGCGGUACUUUAAAGCAAGCUGUUACUGCUGCUUCAUCUCUCUACAGUACUGAGAAACCAACAUCAGUGUCAACUGAAACACAAGAGACUGCAACUACAAGACAGACUGAGAAACUAUCAUCUACACCAGAGACAAGUUCUACUUUCCCAAAAAUAGAUGAAGAGAGUUCAGGUGAACACACAACUGAGAUUUCCAGCGAUGGCACUGCAGCUUCUACAGCCUCAUCCUUGUUUAGCACAGAGAAGCCAACAGGACUGCCACUUACAGAACAUGACAGUGCAGCCACAAGUCGUACAGAAAAUCCCUCAGUAACGCCUUUUACUGGGAAGGUGGAAGAAAGCUCUGUUGUGACAACAGUAUAUGAAGAUGGCUCUGGUGACCAAACCCAAGAAAUGUUUACUCAGACCUACUCUGUCACAGCUAAAUCCUCUCUCUAUAGCACUGAGGCACCAACAACAGCGUCUCCUGUUACAUCACCUACCUUUUUAGACAGUGAGGAAGAAGGCAUUAGUAGUGAAACGACAAUGGCGGAGUCUAUUCCUCCAUUUAGUGGAUCAACCGUGCUCCCUGAAAGAACAUCAUUCCUCAGUACAACUGCCAAAGAGGGUUCUGGAGAUAGCACUGCCGAUUUCACCGAAGAGUCUGUCAUCACAGAAACUACUAUUUCCUCAAAGUUGAGUACAGAGUCACCAUCAGUAACACCCUCAGGUGAAACUGAAACAAGCGGUACUUUAAAGCAAGCUGUUACUGCUGCUUCAUCUCUCUACAGUACUAAGAAACCAACAUCAGUGUCAACUGAAACACAAGAGACUGCAACCACAAGACAGACUGAGAAACUAUCAUCUACACCAGAGACAAGUUCUACUUUCCCAAAAAUAGAUGAAGAGAGUUCAGGUGAACAGACAACUGAGAUUUCCAGCGAUGGCACUGCAGCUUCUACAGCCUCAUCCUUGUUUAGCACAGAGAAGCCAACUGGACUGCCAGUUACAGAACAUGACAGUGCAGCCACAAGUCAUACAGAAAAUCCCUCAGUAACGCCUUUUUCUGGGAAGGUGGAAGAAAGCUCUGUUUCGACAACAGUAUAUGAAGAUGGCUCUGGUGACCAAACCCAAGAAAUGUUUACUCAGACCUACUCUGUCACAGCUAAAUCAUCUCUCUAUAGCACUGAGGCACCAACAACAGCGUCUCCUGUUACAUCCCCUACCCUUUUAGACAGUGAGGAAGAAGGCAUUAGUAGCGAAACGACAAUGGUGGAGUCUAUUCCUCCAUUUAGUGGAUCAACCAUGCUCCCUGAAAGAGCAUCAUUCCUCAGUACAACUGAUGAAGAGAGUUCUGGAGAUAGCACUGCCGGUUUCACCGAAGAGUCCAUCAUCACAGAAACUACUAUUUCCUCAAAGUUGAGUACAGAGUCACCCUCAGUUACACCCUCAGGUGAAACUGAAACAAGCGGUACUUUAAAGCAAGGUGUUACUGCUGCUUCAUCUCUCUACAGUACUGAGAAACCAACAUCAGUGUCAACUGAAACACAAGAGACUGCAACCACAAGACAGACUGAGAGACUAUCAUCUACACCAGAGACAAGUUCUGCUUUCCCAAAAAUAGAUGAAGAGAGUUCAGGUGAACAGACAACUGAGAUUUCCAGCGAUGGCACUGCAGCUUCUACAGCCUCACCCUUGUUUAGCACAGAGAAGCCAUUAGGACUGCCAGUUACAGAACAUGACAGUGCAGCCACAAGUCGUACAGAAAAUCCCUCAGUAACGCCUUUUACUGGGAAGGUGGAAGAAAGCUCUGUUGUGACAACAGUAUAUGAAGAUGGCUCUGGUGACCAAACCCAAGAAAUGUUUACUCAGACCUACUCUGUCACAGCUAAAUCCUCUCUCUAUAGCACUGAGGCACCAACAACAGCGUCUCCUGUUACAUCACCUACCUUUUUAGACAGUGAGGAAGAAGGCAUUAGUAGUGAAACGACAAUGGUGGAGUCUAUUCCUCCAUUUAGUGGAUCAACCGUGCUCCCUGAAAGAACAUCAUUCCUCAGUACAACUGCCAAAGAGGGUUCUGGAGAUAGCACUGCCGAUUUCACCGAAGAGUCUGUCAUCACAGAAACUACUAUUUCCUCAAAGUUGAGUACAGAGUCACCAUCAGUAACACCCUCAGGUGAAACUGAAACAAGCGGUACUUUAAAGCAAGGUGUUACUGCUGCUUCAUCUCUCUACAGUACUAAGAAACCAACAUCAGUGUCAACUGAAACACAAGAGACUGCAACCACAAGACAGACUGAGAAACUAUCAUCUACACCAGAGACAAGUUCUACUUUCCCAAAAAUAGAUGAAGAGAGUUCAGGUGAACAGACAACUGAGAUUUCCAGCGAUGGCACUGCAGCUUCUACAGCCUCACCCUUGUUUAGCACAGAGAAGCCAACUGGACUGCCAGUUACAGAACAUCACAGUGCAGCCACAAGUCGUACAGAAAAUCCCUCAGUAACGCCUUUUUCUGGGAAGGUGAAAGAAAGCUCUGUUUUGACAACAGUAUAUGAAGAUGGCUCUGGUGACCAAACCCAAGAAAUGUUUACUCAGACAUACUCUGUCACAGCUAAAUCAUCUCUCUAUAGCACUGAGGCACCAACAACAGCGUCUCCUGUUACAUCAUCUACCUUUUUAGACAGUGAGGAAGAAGGCAUUAGUAGCGAAACGACAAUGGUGGAGUCUAUUCCUCCAUUUAGUGGAUCAACCGUGCUCCCUGAAAGAGCAUCAUUCCUCAGUACAACUGAUGAAGAGAGUGCUGGAGAUAGCACUGCCGGUUUCACCAAAGAGUCCAUCAUCACAGAAACUACUAUUUCCUCAAAGUUGAGUACAGAGUCACCAUCAGUAACACCCUCAGGUGAAACUGAAACAAGCGGUACUUUAAAGCAAGGUGUUACUGCUGCUUCAUCUCUCUACAGUACUGAGAAACCAACAUCAGUGUCAACUGAAACACAAGAGACUGCAACUACAAGACAGACUGAGAAACUAUCAUCUACACCAGAGACAAGUUCUACUUUCCCAAAAAUAGAUGAAGAGAGUUCAGGUGAACAGACAACUGAGAUUUCCAGCGAUGGCACUGCAGCUUCUACAGCCUCACCCUUGUUUAGCACAGAGAAGCCAACUGGACUACCAGUUACAGAACAUGACAGUGCAGCCACAAGUCAUACAGAAAAUCCCUCAGUAACACCCUUUACUGGGAAGGUGGAAGAAAGCUCUGUUGUGACAACAGUAUAUGAAGAUGGCUCUGGUGACCAAACCCAAGAAAUGUUUACUCAGACCUACUCUGUCACAGCUAAAUCCUCUCUCUAUAGCACUGAGGCACCAACAACAGCGUCUCCUGUUACAUCACCUACCUUUUUAGACAGUGAGGAAGAAGGCAUUAGUAGCGAAACGACAAUGGUGGAGUCUAUUCCUCCAUUUAGUGGAUCAACCAUGCACCCUGAAAGAGCAUCAUUCCUCAGUACAACUGAUGAAGAGAGUUCUGGAGAUAGCACUGCCGGUUUCACCAAAGAGUCCAUCAUCACAGAAACUACUAUUUCCUCAAAGUUGAGUACAGAGUCACCCUCAGUUACACCCUCAGGUGAAACUGAAACAAGCGGUACUUUAAAGCAAGGUGUUACUGCUGCUUCAUCUCUCUACAGUACUGAGAAACCAACAUCAGUGUCAACUGAAUCACAAGAGACUGCAACCACAAGACAGACUGAGAAACUAUCAUCUACACCAGAGACAAGUUCUACUUUCCCAAAAAUAGAUGAAGAGAGUUCAGGUGAACAGACAACUGAGAUUUCCAGUGAUGGCACUGCAGCUUCUACAGCCUCAUCCUUGUUUAGCACAGAGAAGCCAACAGGACUGCCAGUUACAGAACAUGACAGUGCAGCCACAAGUCGUACAGAAAAUCCCUCAGUAACGCCUUUUUCUGGGAAGGUGGAAGAAAGCUCUGUUGUGACAACAGUAUAUGAAGAUGGCUCUGGUGACCAAACCCAAGAAAUGUUUACUCAGACCUACUCUGUAACAGCUAAAUCCUCUCUCUAUAGCACUGAGGCACCAACAACAGCGUCUCCUGUUACAUCAUCUACCUUUUUAGACAGUGAGGAAGAAGGCAUUAGUAGCGAAACGACAAUGGUGGAGUCUAUUCCUCCAUUUAGUGGAUCAACCAUGCUCCCUGAAAGAGCAUCAAUACUCAGUACAACUGAUGAAGAGAGUUCUGGAGAUAGCACUGCCGAUUUCACCAAAGAGUCCAUCAUCACAGAAACUACUAUUUCCUCAAAGUUGAGUACAGAGUCACCCUCAGUUACACCCUCAGGUGAAACUGAAACAAGCGGUACUUUAAAGCAAGGUGUUACUGCUGCUUCAUCUCUCUACAGUACUGAGAAACCAACAUCAGUGUCAACUGAAACACAAGAGACUGCAACCACAAGACAGACUGAGAGACUAUCAUCUACACCAGAGACAAGUUCUUCUUUCCCAAAAAUAGAUGAUGAGAGUUCAGGUGAACAGACAACUGAGAUUUCCAGUGGUGGCACUGCAGCUUCUACAGCCUCAUCCUUGUUUAGCACAGAGAAGCCAACAGGACUGCCAGUUACAGAACAUGACAGUGCAGCCACAAGUCGUACAGAAAAUCCCUCAGUAACGCCUUUUACUGGGAAGGUGGAAGAAAGCUCUGUUGUGACAACAGUAUAUGAAGAUGGCUCUGGUGACCAAACCCAAGAAAUGUUUACUCAGACCUACUCUGUCACAGCUAAAUCCUCUCUCUAUAGCACUGAGGCACCAACAACAGCGUCUCCUGUUACAUCACCUACCUUUUUAGACAGUGAGGAAGAAGGCAUUAGUAGUGAGACGACAAUGGUGGAGUCUAUUCCUCCAUUUAGUGGAUCAACCAUGCUCCCUGAAAGAGCAUCAUUCCUCAGUGCAACUGAUGAAGAGAGUUCUGGAGAUAGCACUGCCGGUUUCACCAAAGAGUCCAUCAUCACAGAAACUACUAUUUCCUCAAAGUUGAGUACAGAGUCACCCUCAGUUACACCCUCAGGUGAAACUGAAACAAGCGGUACUUUAAAGCAAGGUGUUACUGCUGCUUCAUCUCUCUACAGUACUGAGAAACCAACAUCAGUGUCAACUGAAUCACAAGAGACUGCAACCACAAGACAGACUGAGAAACUAUCAUCUACACCAGAGACAAGUUCUACUUUCCCAAAAAUAGAUGAAGAGAGUUCAGGUGAACAGACAACUGAAAUUUCCAGUGAUGGCACUGCAGCUUCUACAGCCUCAUCCUUGUUUAGCACAGAGAAGCCAACAGGACUGCCAGUUACAGAACAUGACAGUGCAGCCACAAGUCGUACAGAAAAUCCCUCAGUAACGCCUUUUUCUGGGAAGGUGGAAGAAAGCUCUGUUGUGACAACAGUAUAUGAAGAUGGCUCUGGUGACCAAACCCAAGAAAUGUUUACUCAGACCUACUCUGUCACAGCUAAAUCCUCUCUCUAUAGCACUGAGGCACCAACAACAGCAUCUCCUGUUACAUCAUCUAUCUUUUUAGACAGUGAGGAAGAAGGCAUUAGUAGCGAAACGACAAUGGUGGAGUCUAUUCCUCCAUUUAGUGGAUCAACCAUGCUCCCUGAAAGAGCAUCAAUACUCAGUACAACUGAUGAAGAGAGUUCGGGAGAUAGCACUGCCGAUUUCACCAAAGAGUCCAUCAUCACAGAAACUACUAUUUCCUCAAAGUUGAGUACAGAGUCACCCUCAGUUACACCCUCAGGUGAAACUGAAACAAGCGGUACUUUAAAGCAAGGUGUUACUGCUGCUUCAUCUCUCUACAGUACUGAGAAACCAACAUCAGUGUCAACUGAAACACAAGAGACUACAACCACAAGACAGACUGAGAAACUAUCAUCUACACCAGAGACAAGUUCUACUUUCCCAAAAAUAGAUGAAGAGAGUUCAGGUGAACAGACAACUGAGAUUUCCAGCGAUGGCACUGCAGCUUCUACAGCCUCAUCCUUGUUUAGCACAGAGAAGCCAACAGGACUGCCAGUUACAGAACAUGACAGUGCAGCCACAAGUCAUACAGAAAAUCCCUCAGUAACGCCUUUUUCUGGGAAGGUGGAAGAAAGCUCUGUUUUGACAACAGUAUAUGAAGAUGGCUCUGGUGACCAAACCCAAGAAAGGUUUACUCAAACCUACUCUGUCACAGCUAAAUCAUCUCUCUAUAGCACUGAGGCACCAACAACAGCGUCUCCUGUUACAUCACCUACCUUUUUAGACAGUGAGGAAGAAGGCAUUAGUAGCGAAACAACAAUGGUGGAGUCUAUUCCUCCAUUUAGUGGAUCAACCAUGCACCCUGAAAGAGCAUCAUUCCUCAGUACAACUGAUGAAGAGAGUUCUGGAGAUAGCACUGCCGGUUUCACCAAAGAGUCCAUCAUCACAGAAACUACUAUUUCCUCAAAGUUGAGUACAGAGUCACCCUCAGUUACACCCUCAGGUGAAACUGAAACAAGCGGUACUUUAAAGCAAGGUGUUACUGCUGCUUCAUCUCUCUACAGUACUGAGAAACCAACAUCAGUGUCAACUGAAUCACAAGAGACUGCAACCACAAGACAGACUGAGAAACUAUCAUCUACACCAGAGACAAGUUCUACUUUCCCAAAAAUAGAUGAAGAGAGUUCAGGUGAACAGACAACUGAAAUUUCCAGUGAUGGCACUGCAGCUUCUACAGCCUCAUCCAUGUUUAGCACAGAGAAGCCAACAGGACUGCCAGUUACAGAACAUGACAGUGCAGCCACAAGUCGUACAGAAAAUCCCUCAGUAACGCCUUUUUCUGGGAAGGUGGAAGAAAGCUCUGUUGUGACAACAGUAUAUGAAGAUGGCUCUGGUGACCAAACCCAAGAAAUGUUUACUCAGACCUACUCUGUCACAGCUAAAUCCUCUCUCUAUAGCACUGAGGCACCAACAACAGCGUCCCCUGUUACAUCAUCUAUCUUUUUAGACAGUGAGGAAGAAGGCAUUAGUAGCGAAACGACAAUGGUGGAGUCUAUUCCUCCAUUUAGUGGAUCAACCAUGCUCCCUGAAAGAGCAUCAAUACUCAGUACAACUGAUGAAGAGAGUUCGGGAGAUAGCACUGCCGAUUUCACCAAAGAGUCCAUCAUCACAGAAACUACUAUUUCCUCAAAGUUGAGUACAGAGUCACCCUCAGUUACACCCUCAGGUGAAACUGAAACAAGCGGUACUUUAAAGCAAGGUGUUACUGCUGCUUCAUCUCUCUACAGUACUGAGAAACCAACAUCAGUGUCAACUGAAACACAAGAGACUACAACCACAAGACAGACUGAGAAACUAUCAUCUACACCAGAGACAAGUUCUACUUUCCCAAAAAUAGAUGAAGAGAGUUCAGGUGAACAGACAACUGAGAUUUCCAGUGGUGGCACUGCAGCUUCUACAGCCUCAUCCUUGUUUAGCACAGAGAAGCCAACAGGACUGCCAGUUACAGAACAUGACAGUGCAGCCACAAGUCAUACAGAAAAUCCCUCAGUAACGCCUUUUCUGGGAAGGUGGAAGAAAGCUCUGUUUUGACAACAGUAUAUGAAGAUGGCUCUGGUGACCAAACCCAAGAAAGGUUUACUCAAACCUACUCUGUCACAGCUAAAUCAUCUCUCUAUAGCACUGAGGCACCAACAACAGCGUCUCCUGUUACAUCACCUACCUUUUUAGACAGUGAGGAAGAAGGCAUUAGUAGCGAAACAACAAUGGUGGAGUCUAUUCCUCCAUUUAGUGGAUCAACCAUGCACCCUGAAAGAGCAUCAUUCCUCAGUACAACUGAUGAAGAGAGUUCUGGAGAUAGCACUGCCGGUUUCACCAAAGAGUCCAUCAUCACAGAAACUACUAUUUCCUCAAAGUUGAGUACAGAGUCACCCUCAGUUACACCCUCAGGUGAAACUGAAACAAGCGGUACUUUAAAGCAAGGUGUUACUGCUGCUUCAUCUCUCUACAGUACUGAGAAACCAACAUCAGUGUCAACUGAAUCACAAGAGACUGCAACCACAAGACAGACUGAGAAACUAUCAUCUACACCAGAGACAAGUUCUACUUUCCCAAAAAUAGAUGAAGAGAGUUCAGGUGAACAGACAACUGAGAUUUCCAGUGAUGGCACUGCAGCUUCUACAGCCUCAUCCUUGUUUAGCACAGAGAAGCCAACAGGACUGCCAGUUACAGAACAUGACAGUGCAGCCACAAGUCGUACAGAAAAUCCCUCAGUAACGCCUUUUUCUGGGAAGGUGGAAGAAAGCUCUGUUGUGACAACAGUAUAUGAAGAUGGCUCUGGUGACCAAACCCAAGAAAUGUUUACUCAGACCUACUCUGUCACAGCUAAAUCCUCUCUCUAUAGCACUGAGGCACCAACAACAGCGUCUCCUGUUACAUCAUCUAUCUUUUUAGACAGUGAGGAAGAAGGCAUUAGUAGCGAAACGACAAUGGUGGAGUCUAUUCCUCCAUUUAGUGGAUCAACCAUGCUCCCUGAAAGAGCAUCAAUACUCAGUACAACUGAUGAAGAGAGUUCGGGAGAUAGCACUGCCGAUUUCACCAAAGAGUCCAUCAUCACAGAAACUACUAUUUCCUCAAAGUUGAGUACAGAGUCACCCUCAGUUACACCCUCAGGUGAAACUGAAACAAGCGGUACUUUAAAGCAAGGUGUUACUGCUGCUUCAUCUCUCUACAGUACUGAGAAACCAACAUCAGUGUCAACUGAAACACAAGAGACUGCAACCACAAGACAGACUGAGAAACUAUCAUCUACACCAGAGACAAGUUCUACUUUCCCAAAAAUAGAUGAAGAGAGUUCAGGUGAACAGACAACUGAGAUUUCCAGUGAUGGCACUGCAGCUUCUACAGCCUCAUCCUUGUUUAGCACAGAGAAGCCAACAGGACUGCCAGUUACAGAACAUGACAGUGCAGCCACAAGUCAUACAGAAAAUCCCUCAGUAACGCCUUUUUCUGGGAAGGUGGAAGAAAG